UACGUAGGGUGCAAGCGUUGUCCGGAAUUAUUGGGCGUAAAGAGCUCGUAGGCGGUCCGUCACGUCGGCUGUGAAAACCCGGGGCUCAACCCCGGGCCUGCAGUCGAUACGGGCGGACUAGAGUUCGGCAGGGGAGACUGGAAUUCCUGGUGUAGCGGUGAAAUGCGCAGAUAUCAGGAGGAACACCGGUGGCGAAGGCGGAUCUCUGGGCCUUACCUGACGCUCAGGUGCGAAAGCUAGGGGAGCGAACAGG
rnacentral:rRNA from 1 species